rnacentral:rRNA from 1 species
UGAGGAAUAUUGGUCAAUGGGGGCAACCCUGAACCAGCCAAGUCGCGUGAAGGAUGAAGGUCUUAUGGAUUGUAAACUUCUUUUACACGGGAAUAAAGUGGGGGACGUGUCCCCCUUUGCAUGUACCGUGUGAAUAAGGAUCGGCUAACUCCGUGCCAGCAGCCGCGGUAAUACGGAGGAUCCGAGCGUUAUCCGGAUUUAUUGGGUUUAAAGGGUGCGCAGGCGGGAUGUUAAGUCGGCGGUGAAAUUUUGCAGCUCAACUGUAAAAGUGCCUUCGAUACUGGCCUCCUUGAGUAUGGAUGAAGUAGGCGGAAUUUGUGGUGUAGCGGUGAAAUGCUUAGAUAUCACGAGGAACUCCGAUUGCGCAGGCAGCUUACUAAGCCACAACUGACGCUCAUGCACGAAGGCGUGGGGAUCAAACA